UUUCACUACAACAAUUAUAUUUCUAACUACCAUAACAUUUAUCGUAUACUUGCUGAAUGCUUUACUAUUUAUCUUUGCAUUAGAAAGACUUCUAUCUUGUGCGAUCACACUUUUGAAAUUCUGAAAUAUAGUUGAUGCAUGGAUACUAGGAUUGUUAAUGCAUGCUUUGUGGACCUAUUCUAUCUUUUACGGUUUUACCUAAUUCUUAAGAAGUUCAGGCUGUGCCUUCUUAUUGAACUUGUUGAGCUGUAUAUGCGUACUUCUUUUCCCAUCUUUGUCAGUCAAUGUAGCAGUCGGUUGUGCUCCUAUUAAUACACUUUUUUAUGCCAUUUUUAUGUUUGAGUAUGCAAACAGAUUCUAGGGUAUGAUCGAAUAUCACGACUCAGUGGCACACAAGUAUUACCUCGUUGGUUUUCUACUGGAGCAUCCAAUGGAUCUUCUGUGCAGCAGGUGCAGGGAGGCACCUCCACAAAGGUGACUGCAUCCAGCCCAUUGGAAGCAACUAUUGCCAAACCCAGAAGCGGUCCACUGAGAAAUGAAAGCUUGAAAGUGAGGGCAAAUGAGAUAGUUACAAAUUCUACAUAUUACUUGAUCCCGACUCUCCUUCUCAUGUCAAGGAAUAGCGUCACCACUUCUCUUAUGGUCAUGUCAGUGUUCCAUCAAAUCUACAUGUUCCACAAGGGGAUCCUUCUGGAUUAUGUCCACAAUGAGGUUACCAGGAAGUGGGCUUUGAUAUACUUCAAGAUUCUCCUGCUGAUCAUGGCUAAGGACACAAUAGUCUACUUCGAUUUAGUCUAAGUUCUGCUAUGGUAGUUUCUCCAGAGACGCAUUAAGCGCCUGAAACAAUGAAAGACUAAUGUCCAACUGCCAGAUCUUCUGUUACUAUCUCUGUGUCUUUGCUGCCCAUUUUAUGCUUGUUACUAGGAUUGACUAGUGUCGUGUUGAAUAACUUCUGAGUAAAAUGUUCGGUUGCCCCCCUAAACCGAGCAAUGUUACAAUGGCGACAAGUUUAUGCUAGUUUUGUAAUAAUGGUAAAGAUUGACUCUUAUUUCUGUUGUAUUAUUGCGUAGCUUGCCAAAUUAUUCCUA